rnacentral:rRNA from 1 species
UACGAAGGGGGCUAGCGUUGUUCGGAAUUACUGGGCGUAAAGCGCGCGUAGGCGGACGCUUAAAGUCAGGGGUGAAAUCCCGGGGCUCAACCCCGGAACCGCCUUUGAUACUGGGCGUCUGGAGUCCGGAAGAGGUUGGUGGAAUUCCGAGUGUAGAGGUGAAAUUCGUAGAUAUUCGGAGGAACACCAGAGGCGAAGGCGGCCAACUGGUCCGGUACUGACGCUGAGGCGCGAAAGCGUGGGGAGCGAACAGG